GUUCUGUGCUGUGUGCUGCCCUCCAGUUCCAAUGGACUUCUGGAUGUCUUGCUCCAUACUGUACCGAGUUGCUCUUUUCUGGAGUCUAUCCCUCAGAUAUUAUUGCUCGCUAUCACAAAGGAUGCACUGCAAACUAAAGCUGGAUCCCAGGGUGGAAUGA
rnacentral:lncRNA from 1 species